rnacentral:rRNA from 1 species
GAUGAACGCUGGCAGCGUGCCUAAUACAUGCAAGUCGAGCGAACAGACGAGGAGCUUGCUCCUCUGACGUUAGCGGCGGACGGGUGAGUAACACGUGGAUAACCUACCUAUAAGACUGGGAUAACUUCGGGAAACCGGAGCUAAUACCGGAUAAUAUAUUGAACCGCAUGGUUCAAUAGUGAAAGACGGUUUUGCUGUCACUUAUAGAUGGAUCCGCGCCGCAUUAGCUAGUUGGUAAGGUAACGGCUUACCAAGGCGACGAUGCGUAGCCGACCUGAGAGGGUGAUCGGCCACACUGGAACUGAGACACGGUCCAGACUCCUACGGGAGGCAGCAGUAGGGAAUCUUCCGCAAUGGGCGAAAGCCUGACGGAGCAACGCCGCGUGAGUGAUGAAGGUCUUCGGAUCGUAAAACUCUGUUAUUAGGGAAGAACAAAUGUGUAAGUAACUAUGCACGUCUUGACGGUACCUAAUCAGAAAGCCACGGCUAACUACGUG